GAUGAACGCUAGCGGGAGGCUUAAUACAUGCAAGUCGAGCGGCAAGGUCUUCGGACCCUAGAGCGGCGCACGGGUGAGUAACGCGUACGCAAUCUGCCCUUCAGUGAGGAAUAGCCCUGGGAAACUGGGAUUAAUACCUCAUAAUAUUAAUUGUCUGCAUGGAUGAUUAAUUAAAGUUCUGGCGCUGAAGGAUGAGCGUGCGUCUGAUUAGCUAGUUGGUAGGUAACGGCCUACCAAGGCGACGAUCAGUAGGGGGCGUGAGAGCGUGACCCCCCACACGGGUACUGAGACACGGACCCGACUCCUACGGGAGGCAGCAGUAAGGAAUAUUGGGCAAUGGAGGCAACUCUGACCCAGCCAUCCCGCGUGAAGGAUUAAGGCCUUAUGGGUU
rnacentral:rRNA from 1 species